GAUGAACGCUGGCGGCGUGCCUAAUACAUGCAAGUCGAGCGGUAAGGCCCCUUCGGGGGUACACGAGCGGCGGACGGCUGAGUAACGCGUAGGAAUAUACCCUAAAGUGAGGAAUAACUGCCCGAAAGGGUGGCUAAUGCCGCAUAUGAUCUUCGGAUUAAAGCUUUACAGCGCUUUGGGAAUAGCCUGCGUUCGAUUAGCUUGUUGGUGAGGUAAUGGCUCACCAAGGCGACGAUCGAUAGCUGGUCUGAGAGGAUGAUCAGCCAGACUGGAACUGAGACACGGUCCAGACUCCUACGGGAGGCUG
rnacentral:rRNA from 1 species